rfam:Aerococcus urinae ACS-120-V-Col10a, complete genome.
GGUAUUGUUUGCCCCACGAUCGGCCCCGGAAACCAAUUGUGAUACGCAACAAUCGUAAA